rnacentral:rRNA from 1 species
AGGCCAAUCAAACCGGGAGAUAGCUGGUUCUCCCCGAAAGCUAUUUAGGUAGCGCCUCGUGAAUUCAUCUCCGGGGGUAGAGCACUGUUUCGGCUAGGGGGCCAUCCCGGCUUACCAACCCGAUGCAAACUGCGAAUACCGGAGAAUGUUAUCACGGGAGACACACGGCGGGUGCUAACGUCCGUCGUGAAGAGGGAAACAACCCAGACCGCCAGCUAAGGUCCCAAAGUCAUGGUUAAGUGGGAAACGAUGUGGGAAGGCCCAGACAGCCAGGAUGUUGGCUUAGAAGCAGCCAUCAUUUAAAGAAAGCGUAAUAGCUCACUGGUCGAGUCGGCCUGCGCGGAAGAUGUAACGGGGCUAAACCAUGCACCGAAGCUGCGGCAGCGACGCUUAUGCGUUGUUGGGUAGGGGAGCGUUCUGUAAGCCUGCGAAGGUGGCCUGUGAGGGUUGCUGGAGGUAUCAGAAGUGCGAAUGCUGACAUAAGUAACGAUAAAGCGGGUGAAAAGCCCGCUCGCCGGAAGACCAAGGGUUCCUGUCCAACGUUAAUCGGGGCAGGGUGAGUCGACCCCUAAGGCGAGGCCGAAAGGCGUAGUCGAUGGGAAACGGGUUAAUAUUCCCGUACUUGGUGUUACUGCGAAGGGGGGACGGAGAAGGCUAUGUUGGCCGGGCGACGGUUGUCCCGGUUUAAGCGUGUAGGUGUGUGUUCCAGGUAAAUCCGGUUCACUUUAACACUGAGGCGUGACGACGAGGCACUACGGUGCUGAAGCAACAAAUGCCCUGCUUCCAGGAAAAGCCUCUAAGCAUCAGGUAACAUCAAAUCGUACCCCAAACCGACACAGGUGGUCAGGUAGAGAAUACCAAGGCGCUUGAGAGAACUCGGGUGAAGGAACUAGGCAAAAUGGUGCCGUAACUUCGGGAGAAGGCACGCUGACACGUAGGUGAAGUGAUUUACUCAUGGAGCUGAAGUCAGUCGAAGAUACCAGCUGGCUGCAACUGUUUAUUAAAAACACAGCACUGUGCAAACACGAAAGUGGACGUAUACGGUGUGACGCCUGCCCGGUGCCGGAAGGUUAAUUGAUGGGGUCAGCGCAAGCGAAGCUCCUGAUCGAAGCCCCGGUAAACGGCGGCCGUAACUAUAACGGUCCUAAGGUAGCGAAAUUCCUUGUCGGGUAAGUUCCGACCUGCACGAAUGGCGUAAUGAUGGCCAGGCUGUCUCCACCCGAGACUCAGUGAAAUUGAACUCGCUGUGAAGAUGCAGUGUACCCGCGGCAAGACGGAAAGACCCCGUGAACCUUUACUAUAGCUUGACACUGAACAUUGAGCCUUGAUGUGUAGGAUAGGUGGGAGGCUUUGAAGUGUGGACGCCAGUCUGCAUGGAGCCGACCUUGAAAUACCACCCUUUAAUGUUUGAUGUUCUAACGUGGACCCGUUACCCGGGUUGCGGACAGUGUCUGGUGGGUAGUUUGACUGGGGCGGUCUCCUCCUAAAGAGUAACGGAGGAGCACGAAGGUUGGCUAAUCCUGGUCGGACAUCAGGAGGUUAGUGCAAUGGCAUAAGCCAGCUUGACUGCGAGCGUGACGGCGCGAGCAGGUGCGAAAGCAGGUCAUAGUGAUCCGGUGGUUCUGAAUGGAAGGGCCAUCGCUCAACGGAUAAAAGGUACUCCGGGGAUAACAGGCUGAUACCGCCCAAGAGUUCAUAUCGACGGCGGUGUUUGGCACCUCGAUGUCGGCUCAUCACAUCCUGGGGCUGAAGUAGGUCCCAAGGGUAUGGCUGUUCGCCAUUUAAAGUGGUACGCGAGCUGGGUUUAGAACGUCGUGAGACAGUUCGGUCCCUAUCUGCCGUGGGCGCUGGAGAACUGAGGGGGGCUGCUCCUAGUACGAGAGGACCGGAGUGGACGCAUCACUGGUGUUCGGGUUGUCAUGCCAAUGGCACUGCCCGGUAGCUAAAUGCGGAAGAGAUAAGUGCUGAAAGCAUCUAAGCACGAAACUUGCCCCGAG